rnacentral:rRNA from 1 species
AGUGAACGCUGGCGGUAGGCCUAACACAUGCAAGUCGAACGGCAGCACAGUAAGAGCUUGCUCUUACGGGUGGCGAGUGGCGGACGGGUGAGGAAUACAUCGGAAUCUACUUUUUCGUGGGGGAUAACGUAGGGAAACUUACGCUAAUACCGCAUACGACCUACGGGUGAAAGCAGGGGAUCUUCGGACCUUGCGCGAUUGAAUGAGCCGAUGUCGGAUUAGCUAGUUGGCGGGGUAAAGGCCCACCAAGGCGACGAUCCGUAGCUGGUCUGAGAGGAUGACAACCAACAGUGGAACGGAGACAGGGUCAAGACUCAUAGGGGAGGAAGCAGUGGGGAAUGUGGGAAAAGGGCAGCAAGCCUGAUCAAGACAUACGGGGGGGGUGAAAAAGGCGUGGGGGUUGAAAAGCCUUUUUGUGGGAAAAAAAAAGAAGAAGGUAAAUACCCCGCUGUUGGGAGGGUACAAAAAAAAUAAGAACCGGCAAACUUCGUG